UACGUAGGGACCGAGCGUUGUCCGGAAUCAUUGGGCGUAAAGAGCGUGUAGGCGGCUUGCUAAGUCUUGCGUGAAAUCUCGGGGCUCAACCCCGAGCGGUCGUGGGAAACUGGCAGGCUAGAGUGCGGGAGAGGAGAAUGGAAUUCCUGGUGUAGCGGUGAAAUGCAUAGAUAUCACGAAGAACACCGGUGGCGAAGGCGGCCAACUGGUCCGAUACUGACGCUGAUACACGAGAGCGUGGGGAGCGAACAGG
rnacentral:rRNA from 1 species